CUUUUCUACUAAUGCUUCCCUGUGGAAGUCCUUUAUCCUGAAUGUAUUUCAGUUUUUCCCUCCUAUCCUCAGUUUGUAGAUUUCUUUUGGCUUCUAUGCAUGCCUUCCCUAAGCAAGGUUAAGACUGCAAAAAUUUCCCUUCCCCUGGCCGCAUCUUGUAUCAUAGCUUUCAGCACUGCGCGUGCCCUUUUUAAUGCAUACCUGACCUGCAGCCCUGUUAGCAAUCCUGUUUCUCUAUCCAAUACAUGUUGUACUUCUAAAAAAAAUGCCUAAAUAUCAUCGACUUCAUACAUCUAACUUUGCAGGCACACAGAAAAUUUCAUUGUAGCAUCGUUGACACCAAAAAAGAGUAGUAGUUUAUCAUGGUCUAUUCAUGUGCUUGUCAUGUAUGCCUUUUCUUUUUGGCUUGUCAUGCAGCUCAUGAAUUUGAUAAUGAUUUUCUGCAGGUUAUUUUUCUAAUUUUUUUUCUUGAACAAUACACCAUACACCUUUCACAAAAGGGAAACCUGGCUUGAAACUGCAUCCAUAUCUCCCUAUGGAGCUGUACACAAUAUUGACGGUCCAUAUGUGGAGAAUACAAGGACUCAUCUGCAGAAAAUUGUUGGUGACGACAAUGUUCUUCUUGUGAAGUUUGCAGAUAUACCUGAUCUUGUAAAUAAAAUCGACAAGUUCGGUAUCUACUGCACAUUUUACAGCCAGCUCGCUAAUGAUGAGGGCAUAUUGCAUGUUUGGUUUGGUAUUAUCCAAAACUAUCAAAUUGGACGUGAACUUAUCAGAAGUUCAUGUUCAAAUAAUCGACGACGAACCUUGCAGGUAUGAAUCUGGAGAAAUCGCUGUUCAAGAUGGGGAAAGUUUGAUUCAUACUGACGGGACUGGCUUAAUAUCAGUAGAUUUAGCUAGAGAAUGCCCCACCAGCAUCUUCAAGGGAAACUUCCUUAAGGCAUGUGACCUGUAGCUGACACUAGUCUUUUCAGUUAACCAUUAUAAUUCCUUAAAUACUCUUUGCUUAAUGUUUUAUCUUUUAUGCCUUGCACAAGACGCUGUGGAUUCAAAGGGAUACCAAUAUCUCACCUCUGAACAUCCUCUUCUAAUGCAGUUCCAUAUGUUCCAUAAUGAUAUGCUGUGAAGGGAACCCUUCUAGUUGAUAAAAGGACAAUUCAUAUAAGACCAUCAAUGAUAAAAAUAUAUGUUAUGAACCCUGAUGGGAUCGAGAGGAGAGAGUGCUGAGGGAAGUGGCGGCGGCGCUACAGUACCCGCGGUGCUACAGUACCCGCGGGUACUGUUCGCGAGAUGGGAGGGCUGCGAGGGCGAGAGAGCGGCGGCUAGGGUUGGGGGCGCUGGGAACGCCGGCCGCGGGGCUUCUCCCACGGCCGGCAAGAGAGAAGGUAUUUCCUUCUAAUCUCUUGCU